AGAGGGGGCAAGCGUUAUUCGGAAUUAUUGGGCGUAAAGGGCGCGUAGGCGGCUUGGCAAGUGGAAGGUGAAAUCCCUCGGCUUAACCGAGGAACUGCCCUCCAAACUGCUUCGCUUGAGACCGGGAGAGGUGAGUGGAAUUCCCAGUGUAGCGGUGAAAUGCGUAGAUAUUGGGAGGAACACCAGUGGCGAAGGCGGCUCACUGGACCGGUACUGACGCUGAUGCGCGAAAGCGUGGGGAGCAAACGGGAUUAGAUACCCCGGUAGUCCACGCCGUAAACGAUGAGUGCUUGGUGUAGCGGGUAUCGACCCCUGCUGUGCCGAAGUCAACACAUUAAGCACUCCGCCUGGGGAGUACGGUCGCAAGGCUG
rnacentral:rRNA from 1 species